ensembl:lincRNA
GGGUAAAUUUGCCGUAACCAGAUAUGGACCAUCUUAAAAGCAAAUAUGAUUUCUAGUAAUCUACACUGAUUCUUUACUGUUAUCAUCAUGGCCACAGAAGCCCAUGAUACAACAAUGACAUUACAUUAGAGAGAAAGACUGCAUAAGGAGGACCAGUCAGCUCACUUGAAAGCACAUGCAGGAUUUUUGGCAACAGGGACAUGAGUGUUAUAAGGAUGGUCCAGAAGAAGGGAGGACCUCUUGUGAACAGUAGAUGUGAAGUAGGAGGGACAAGUUGCAAAUCCCAGUCCUCAAGGCAUAUGAUGCUUAGCUACAGUAAUUCAUUAACAGCACAACCUACUAAUAAACAGAAUAUUUUGGAAACUUCUUUGUUUCUGUCCCUUUAGGCAAGGAUAUCUCUAUGAAAAAACUGACAGAGCCCAGUUCCCUUGCCAGAAUCCUGAAUAUUUGAGUCAAGAUUCCAAGAACUCCUCAUCUACCAUUGCAAGUAUAGGGACAAUGUUGCAUAUCUCAGUGGAACAGCCUAAGAUUUGAAGUCAAUAGGAAGCUGAGCUUGACAUAGGAUCUGAACACUCAAAUAUCAACACAACCUCCAGUCUUAAGACUGUGCAUGCUUCUAAUAAAAAUUUGGAACCAAAAGAAGUUUAAAAAGCCGAAAGUGACUAAGUGCUGCUAUCCCAUGCCCCAAAGGUCACAGGUGAAAGGGGACAGCACAAACCAGCAGUUUGCCACUUGGUCUGAAGUUUGGCUUACAUCGAUUGAAUAUCAAUGGGCUGUGCAAGAGUUGCAUGACAGAGAACCACAUUUCAGAAUUAUGUCACUGGCUGGAGUGAUUGGCCAAGGUUUGGUUAGUAGGAUGGCUUUGGUAGGAUUCUUUGCAUUGGACAAGGCAGAAUUAGUGGACCCAGUAAGAGGUCAAGCCAGAGCAAAGUGGGCAGUCCAGAUAGGUAAGCUCGGAUUCAAAGUUGGAUUCAAAGUACUUUAGAUUGAUUUCUGAAAUAAGGCUGUGCUUUGGCAGGAUUUAUUUUGAAGUACCAGGGAAGUGUUUGCAAGCAUUUUUUCUUAAAAAAAGUGUGGACUGUCUAAAAGGCACUGUUUGUUUUACAGAGAGUAUACUUUCAAGAUACGAUUGUCAGAAUAUGGACCAGGGAACCACAGGGGAAUUCCACCUGGAGCCCUGCCCCAUCCUUCUCCAGUUUGGAAAUUGAUGUGCUGGUUUUCCUUAACUUAUGUUUAACACAUAUUUUGAGUGUCUGAACCAAUGUCAGCUCCUUGCUCUACUCAAUGGACUGACCCUUGAGUAUUUUAUAUCUCUAAGCUCCCAUUGAACCAAUUUCAAGUGCAUUUUAUGCCCCUGAUGGAACCAGUGGAUUUAGAUUGCUAGAGGCUCUUAAGAAUCAGUGGCUAUAUGAGCAGUGACUGCUUCAUCUCAGCUAUUGUUGAAUGAUUCUUGUUUGUUCUUCAAGUUUUGCAAACCACUGGAAGAUCCCUCUGGGUUGAGAAGGGCUAGAGUAAUAUAAGAUAUCACUGACAAUAGUAAUAACUUUUUUUUUUUUAUCAAACACCUUGCUUCCAGAGAGCUCAAAGUGCUUUAUGGAUGUUAUCUCAUGAAUCCUUCUGAUACCCCUGAGAGGCCAGGAGCAAAUACACUGCCAUCCUAGAGUUUCUGGCAGAGAAAGUGAAAAAGAGGAAAGGUGGAACACACAGCAGUCUUUAUUGAGGGAUGAGUGUGGCUCCUAGGAGUCAUAUGUUAUGUUUCAAUAGGCAAUGCAAAAGCUCUCUUCAGCAAUAUAAUUUUAUCAGUAAUAAUUAUUAUAGCUAAUACUGACUGAAUAUUUAUCAAGGGCCAAGUACUUUUCAUGCACUUUGCUUGUAUUCACAAAUUGAAUCCUCUGAAUACUUUGAUGGGAUUACCAC